GGUAGCAUUACAUAUGUU
rnacentral:siRNA from 1 species